rnacentral:piRNA from 1 species
UGCUGUGAAGAAACGCCAUGA